UACGUAGGGUGCAAGCGUUGUCCGGAAUUAUUGGGCGUAAAGAGCUCGUAGGCGGUCUGUCGCGUCUGCCGUGAAAGUCCGGGGCUCAACUCCGGAUCUGCGGUGGGUACGGGCAGACUAGAGUGAUGUAGGGGAGACUGGAAUUCCUGGUGUAGCGGUGAAAUGCGCAGAUAUCAGGAGGAACACCGGUGGCGAAGGCGGGUCUCUGGGCAACACUGACGCUGAGGAGCGAAAGCGUGGGGAGCGAACAGG
rnacentral:rRNA from 1 species